CAACAAUGACCGUGCCGUUGAAACUGUCAGUCUUGAGUGCAUCCAGUGCAGGCGGAAUUCGUGGUGUAGCGGUGAAAUGCUUAGAUAUCACGAAGAACUCCGAUUGCGAAGGCAGCUUGCUGGACCGUAACUGACGUUGAUGCUCGAAAGUGCGGGUAUCAAACAGGAUUAGAUACCCUGGUAGUCCGCACAGUAAACGAUGAAUACUCGCUGUUGGCGAUAUACUGCCAGCGGCCAAGCGAAAGCGUUAAGUAUUCCACCUGGGGAGUACGCCGGCAACGGUGAAACUCAAAGGAAUUGACGGGGGCCCGCACAAGCGGAGGAACAUGUGGUUUAAUUCGAUGAUACGCGAGGAACCUUACCCGGGCUUGAACUGCAGCGGAAUGAUUUGGAAACAGAUCAGCGAGCAAUCGCCGCUGUGGAGGUGCUGCAUGGUUGUCGUCAGCUCGUGCCGUGAGGUGUCGGCUUAAGUGCCAUAACGAGCGCAACCCUUACCGAUAGUUGCCAUCAGGUGACGCUGGGGACUCUAUCGGGACUGCCGUCGUAAGAUGUGAGGAAGGUGGGGAUGACGUCAAAUCAGCACGGCCCUUACGUCCGGGGCUACACACGUGUUACAAUGGGAGGUCACAGAGGGCUGCUACCCGGCGACGGGACGCCAAUCCCCAAACCCUCCCUCAGUACGGACUGGAGUCUGCAACCCGACUCCACGAAGCUGGAUUCGCUAGUAAUCGCGCAUCAGCCACGGCGCGGUGAAUACGUUCCCGGGCCUUGUACACACCGCCCGUCAAGCCAUGAAAGCCGGNNNNNCCUGAAGUGCGUAACCGCAAGGGGCGCCCUAGGGUAAAGCCGGUGAUUGGGGCUGAGUCGUAACAAGGUAACCA
rnacentral:rRNA from 1 species